ACGGUGAACGGUUGCUGUGUUUUAGGACCCAAUGAUGAAAUUCACCUGAGACCACAUAGCCAGAGAAGGCCAAACUGAGUUUUGAAUCUAGGCAAUCUUGACCCCAGAGCCUUCCGGCCUAAAGAUCACUCAAGCCUUCACAGAAGCAAGGGGCGAUGCAUUAGACUCUACUUUUUGAUGGGAGAGCAGCGAGUUACACUGCAGAAGUGCAUGUGGGAUGGAAGCUAUUAU